rnacentral:lncRNA from 1 species
UCAAAAAUUUAUAGUAUCUAAUCUCUGUUAACCCCUAUAGAGCACCCUAGCACGAUCUCUAAUGAUCUAGAUCUUGAAUUUCUCUUUUGAGGGAUACAAAAUUUUUUCUCUAUUUUCUCUCUCUACUUUCUCUCUCUUCAUCCACUUUUUUCCUCUAAGGAGAUCUAGGGAUUCUAGUAUUGAGUCAUGUCUUCCUCUUUCAGAAAUCCAUGUUGACUCUGGUAAGAUGACCUAAAACUGCUUUGAUAUUCAUAUCGCAUGUCAAAUCCCUAUGGG